UCAGGUGGUUAUAGCACGAGGGUUCCACCUCUUCCCAUUCCGAACAGAGAAGUUAAGCCUCGUCACGCCGAUGGUACUGCGUAACAGUGGGAGAGUAGGUA
rnacentral:rRNA from 1 species